GACGAACGCUGGCGGCGUGCCUAAUACAUGCAAGUCGAGCGGACGAUUCGAAAGCUUGCUUUUGAAUCGUUAGCGGCGGACGGGUGAGUAACACGUGGGCAACCUGCCCUGUAGACGGGGAUAACACCGAGAAAUCGGUGCUAAUACCGGAUAACACGAAAUGUCGCAUGACGUUUCGUUGAAAGGCGGCGCAAGCUGCCGCUACAGGAUGGGCCCGCGGCGCAUUAGCUAGUUGGUGAGGUAACGGCUCGCCAAGGCGACGAUGCGUAGCCGACCUGAGAGGGUGAUCGGCCACACUGGGACUGAGACACGGCCCAGACUCCUACGGGAGGCAGCAGUAGGGAAUCUUCCGCAAUGGACGAAAGUCUGACGGAGCAACGCCGCGUGAGCGAAGAAGGCCUUCGGGUCGUAAAGCUCUGUUGUUAGGGAAGAACAAGUAACGUAGUAACUGACGUUACUAUGACGGUACCUAACGAGAAAGCCACAGCUAACUACGUG
rnacentral:rRNA from 1 species